rnacentral:rRNA from 1 species
UACGUAGGGUGCAAGCGUUGUCCGGAAUUAUUGGGCGUAAAGAGCUCGUAGGCGGUCUGUCGCGUCGGCUGUGAAAACUCGGGGCUCAACUCCGAGCUUGCAGUCGAUACGGGCAGGCUAGAGUUCGGCAGGGGAGACUGGAAUUCCUGGUGUAGCGGUGAAAUGCGCAGAUAUCAGGAGGAACACCGGUGGCGAAGGCGGGUCUCUGGGCCGAUACUGACGCUGAGGAGCGAAAGCGUGGGGGAGCGAACAGG